rnacentral:rRNA from 1 species
CGAGGAAUAUUGCACAAUAGGCGCAAGCCUGAUGCAGCAACGCCGCGUGGACGAUGAAGGCCUUCGGGUUGUAAAGUCCUUUUCUGGGGGAAGACAUGGACGGUACCCCAGGAAUAAGUGUCGGCUAACUACGUGCCAGCAGCCGCGGUAAAACGUAGGACGCGAGCGUUAUCCGGAUUUACUGGGCGUAAAGCGCGUGCAGGCGGUCUGUUAAGUCGUGCGUGAAAGCUCCCUGGCUCAACCGGGAGAGGUCGUACGAGACUGGCAGGCUUGAGGGCAGCAGAGGAGUGUGGAAUUCCGGGUGUAGUGGUGAAAUGCGUAGAUAUCCGGAGGAACACCAGUGGCGAAGGCGACACUCUGGGCUGUACCUGACGCUAAGACGCGAAAGCAUGGGUAGCGAACGG